rnacentral:misc_RNA from 1 species
AACCUAGCACACCUGCGGUGUGUACCUGCGGAGGGAUCAUUAACGAGUUACCACCCUAUAACCCUUUGUGAACAUACCUACAUGUUGCUUCGGCGGUCGGCCCCCCCGGGCCCCCGGCCCCGCUCACGCGGGGCGUCCGCCGGAGGAUAACCAAACUCUGAUUUAACGACGUUUCUUCUGAGUGGCACAAGCAAAUAAUCAAAACUUUUAACAACGGAUCU